CCUACGGGAGGCAGCAGUGGGGAAUAUUGGGCAAUGGGCGCAAGCCUGACCCAGCAACGCCGCGUGAAGGAAGAAGGCUUUCGGGUUUGAAACUUCUUUUUUCAGGGACGUAGAAAGUGACGGUACCUGACGAUUAAGCCACGGCUAACUACGUGCCAGCAGCCGCGGUAAUACGUAGGUGGCGAGCGUUAUCCGGAUUGACUGGGUGUAAAGGGCGUGUAGGCGGGACUGCAAGUCAGAUGUGAAAACCACGGGCUCAACCUGUGGCCUGCAUUUGAAACUGUAUUUCUUGAGUACUGGAGAGGCAGACGGAAUUCGUAGUGUAGCGGUGAAAUGCGUAGAUAUUAGGAGGAACACCAGUUGCGAAGGCAGUCUGCUGAACAGCAACUGACGCUGAGGCGCGAAAGCGUGGGGAGCAAACAGGAUUAGAUACCCCUGUAGUC
rnacentral:rRNA from 1 species